ACUCAAAUGAAUUGACGGGGCCCCGCACAAGCGGUGGAGCAUGUUGUUUAAUACGUCAUUAACCGUAGAACCUUACCAGGGUUUGACAUGUGGCGCACCGGGGUGAAAGCCUCGUCCCCCGCAAGGGGGCGCCAACACAGGUGUUGCAUGGCUGUCGUCAGCUCGUGUCGUGAGAUGUUGGGUUAAGUCCCGCAACGAGCGCAACCCUCAUCCCCUGUUGCCAGCGGGUAACGCCGGGAACUCUGGGGAAACUGCCGGGGUAACUCGGAGGAAGGCGAGGACGACGUCAAGUCAGCAUGGCCCUUACAUCCUGGGCUACAAACAUGCUACAAUGGGCGCAAAACAGAGGGAUCCGAGGUCGCGAGACGGAGGCAAUCCCAGAAAGGCGCUCUCAGUUCGGAUCGCAGGCUGCAACUCGCCUGCGUGAAGUCGGAAUCGCUAGUAACCGCAGGUCAGCUAAACUGCGGUGAAUACGUUCCCGGGGCUUGCACACACCGCCCGU
rnacentral:rRNA from 1 species